CAGCCUCUAUUUUACAGUGUAAUGCUGUUCUAUAAACUACACGAUAGAAAGUGCGUUUAGAUACACAGACUAUUACGUAUUUGAAUAUUCUUUACCCAUAUUGUUCUCGCAAUUUGAGUUUCUUGUUAAAUAUAAAGUGAAGUUAAUGUGUCAGAAGUAUUUUAACCCUGUUGGUCUGGUAAUAUAAAGAACACCCGUGUUUAAACCAUUCUCUGUUUUAGACUAGCUUAUUCUAGUCUAUUGAGGUUCCCUGUGUACCUGUAAACACAGGUGGUGGCAGCAAAGUAAAAGACACCCGUUUGGCCAGUUAUUACAGUAUACCUUGU
rnacentral:lncRNA from 1 species